rnacentral:tRNA from 2 species
GCGCGGGUGGCGGAAUAGGUAGACGCGCCAGCUUGAGGUGCUGGUUCCUAACUUAACGGGAGUAGGGGUUCAAGUCCCCUUUCGCGCA